rnacentral:ncRNA from 1 species
AAAAAGUUUGAUUCUUUCUUUUAUUUUAUUUUUAUUAUAAUUUUUUGUAUGUAAAAUUUUUUAUUAAUUUAAUAUUCUAAAUGAUUUAUUAUUUAAUUUCGCAGCAUAUAAUACUAUAAAUUAAUUUAAGUUUGAUUUUGAUUAAUAAUAAUAUUAGUGAUUAAUUUUGUGCCAGCAAUCGCGGUUAUACAAAAACUAUAAAAUAAAAUUUACGUCUUUUAGUUUAAAAUUUAAAAAUAAAAAAAUAUUAUUAAAAUUAAGUGAAAUUUUUUUUAUAAUUUAAUUUUUUUUAUUAUAAUUAUAUCUAAGAAAUUUUUAUUAUAAACUAGGAUUAGAUACCCUAUUAUUUUAAAUGUAAAUUUAUAAAGAUUGAUUAUUAAAAGUUAUGAUCUCUAAAUUCAAAGAAUUUGGCGGUAAUUAAAUCUUUUUAGAGGAACCUGUUCUUUAAUCGAUAAUCCACGAUUGAUUUAACUUUCAUUAUUAAACUUGUAUACCUCUGUUAUUGAAUGUAUUAAAAGAUUUAUUUUCUUUAUUCUAUUUUUAGAAAAAUGUUAGGUCAAGGUGCAGUUAUAUGUAAGUAGAAAUGGGUUACUAUAAAUUUAUUUUGGAUUUAUAUUUGUAAUAAUAUAAUUAAAUUGGAUUUAAUAGUAAUUUAAAAUAGAAUUUUUUUUUUGAUUUGAGCUCUUAAUUAUGUACACAUCGCCCGUCGCUCUCAUUUUUAAGUUGAGAUAAGUCGUAACAAAGUAGAUUUACCGGAAGGUGAAUCUAGAAAGUU